AGAGUUUGAUCMUGGCUCAGAACGAACGCUGGCGGCGUGCUUAACACAUGCAAAGUCGAACGGGGUUAUAUAGUGUAGCAAUACAUUGUAUAACUUAGUGGCGGACGGGUGAGUAACACGUAGGUAACCAACCCUAAAGCGGGGACAACCCAGGGAAACUUGGGCUAAUACCGCAUAAGACCACGGACUGGGAGGUCUGUGGUAAAAGCAGCAAUGCACUUUAGGAUGGGCCUGCGGCCUAUCAGGUAGUUGGCGGGGUAAAGGCCCACCAAGCCUAAGACGGGUAGCCGGACUGAGAGGUUGAACGGCCACACUGGAACUGAGAUACGGUCCAGACUCCUACGGGAGGCAGCAGUGGGGAAUWUUGCRCAAUGGGGGAAACCCUGACGCAGCAACGCCGCGUGAGUGAUGAAGGCUUUCGGGUCGUAAAGCUCUGUCAGAGGGGAAGAAAUGUAUGGAUGCUAAUACCAUCUUUACUUGACGGUACCCUCAAAGGAAGCACCGGCUAACUCCGUGCCAGCAGCCGCGGUAAUA
rnacentral:rRNA from 1 species